GACGGUGAGUAACGCGUGAGAAUCUGGCUCUAGGUUCGGGACAACCACUGGAAACGGUGGCUAAUACCGGAUGUGCCGAGAGGUGAAAGGUUAACUGCCUGGAGAUGAGCUCGCGUCUGAUUAGCUAGUUGGUGGUGUAAGGGACUACCAAGGCGACGAUCAGUAGCUGGUCUGAGAGGAUGAUCAGCCACACUGGAACUGAGACACGGUCCAGACUCCUACGGGAGGCAGCAGUGGGGAAUUUUCCGCAAUGGGCGAAAGCCUGACGGAGCAAUACCGCGUGAGGGAGGAAGGCUCUUGGGUUGUAAACCUCUUUUCUCAGGGAAUAAGCAAGUGAAGGUACCUGAGGAAUCAGCAUCGGCUAACUCCGUGCCAGCAGCCGCGGUAAUACGGAGGAUGCAAGCGUUAUCCGGAAUGAUUGGGCGUAAAGCGUCCGUAGGUAGCAGUGUGUGUCUAUUGUUAAAGAGUUUGGCUUAACCAAAUAAAGGCGGUAGAAACUACACAGCUAGAGUGCGUUCGGGGCAGAGGGAAUUCCUGGUGUAGCGGUGAAAUCCGUAGAGAUCGGAAGAACACCGGGGCGA
rnacentral:rRNA from 1 species